rnacentral:ncRNA from 2 species
CGCGAUCCGUCGGGGUGCCUCUUGGGGCUGAGAAUAACCCGUCGAACCUGAUCCGGGCAAUACCGGCGUAGGGAACGGGUAUCUGGGCGAU